rnacentral:rRNA from 1 species
AUUGAACGCUGGCGGCAGGCCUAACACAUGCAAGUCGAACGGUAACAGGAAGAAGCUUGCUUCUUUGCUGACGAGUGGCGGACGGGUGAGUAAUGUCUGGGAAACUGCCUGAUGGAGGGGGAUAACUACUGGAAACGGUAGCUAAUACCGCAUAACGUCGCAAGACCAAAGAGGGGGACCUUCGGGCCUCUUGCCAUCGGAUGUGCCCAGAUGGGAUUAGCUAGUUGGUGGGGUAACGGCUCACCAAGGCGACGAUCCCUAGCUGGUCUGAGAGGAUGACCAGCCACACUAGAACUGAAACACGGUCCAGACUCCUACGGGAGGCAGCAGUGGGGAAUAUUGCACAAUGGGCGCAAGCCUGAUGCAGCCAUGCCGCGUGUAUGAAGAAGGCCUUCGGGCUGUAAAGUACUUUCAGCGGGGAGGAAGGGAGUAAAGUUAAUACCUUUGCUCAUUGACGUUACCCGCAGAAGAAGCACCGGCUAACUCCGUGCCAGCAGCCGCCGUAA